rnacentral:tRNA from 1 species
CUCUUCUUAGCUCAGUUGGUUUAGAGCGUCUGACUGUAAUUGUUGAUUGUCAUCAGAAGGUCCUUUGUUCGACUCAGAGAGAGGAGA